rnacentral:lncRNA from 1 species
UGGCAUAAUUUUGGAUGGUUAAGUUCUUCCACAUGACUCUAGGCAAUUGUCCAAUCUGGUGUAGAUACAGCAUCUUUAUAGUACAUACUGGUUUAUGCAUCAUAUGAUAUUGUUGCAAUAGAACAGUAGCUUCAAUUAUCUUCCGGACCAUCCAGCAGGCUUGCUUGGGAAUAACAAUGGAUUCUAACUGAUGUUGUUUUAUAUAGACUGUGUGAAUCCACCUUACCCAUAGGACAUCCUUCUUAUGAGCCAAAUCCCAGCCAAGCUUAGCAAUAGCAGCUUUGUUCCACACUAGCAGGUUCAU